UACGUAGGAGGCAAGCGUUGUCCGGAAUUACUGGGCGUAAAGCGCGUGUAGGUGGUGGGACAAGUCUGCUGUGAAAGCCCCCGGCUCAACUGGGGAGGGUCACUCGAUACUGAUCGACUCGAAGGCAGGAGAGGGAAGCGGAAUUCCCGGUGUAGUGGUGAAAUGCGUAGAUAUCGGGAGGAACACCAGUGGCGAAGGCGGCUUUCUGGCCUGCUCUUGACGCUGAGGCGCGAAAGCGUGGGGAGCAAACAGG
rnacentral:rRNA from 1 species